GCUUAAGGUUCCUUCCUGACUAACAGGGAGUUUUUUCUUGCCCGUGUUGCCAAUGUGCUUGCACUAAGGGGGUUCAGGCUCUGGGAUCUGUAAAGCGCCUAGAGACAAUUGUAUUGUUAUGGCGCUAUAUAAAUACAAUUGAAUUGAAUUGAAUUGAAUCACUGGCUGUUCUCUCGUGUGCAGUUUUCUCCAUUGCUGUGAACUAGAAAACUAGAGUUCAGGAGUUGUUGUUAUUGCUAUAGGGUUAGGGUUGUGGAGCACCAUAGACCUUGGGGUCAGAGUUCAGGAGUUGUUGUUAUUGCUAUAGGGUUAGGGUUGUGGAGCACCUACACCUUGGGGUCAGAGUUCAGGAGUUGUUGUUAUUGCUAUAGGGUUAGGGUUGUGGAGCACCAUAGACCUUAGGGUCAGAGUUCAGGAGUUGCGUCUACCAGAGCUCAAGUUUCUGGCCACCGAAUCGGGGAGCUCUUCAUUGGCCUACCUGACAAAGAUUGAGAGGUAGGUGUGUGUGUGUGUGGUUGUGUGUGUGUGUGCGUGUGUGUGUGAGCGAGUGAGAAGGAACAUGAAAAUUCCCUGUCAGCAGUCAGUACUUGGUCUUGUGAUACUCACUUUAGUUUAGCCUGACAGACAGUAGAGAGAAAAGGACACAUAUUCUGUUUCCUUUUAGAUAAUAAAAUGUUACUGUCAAUGUUUCUUUGUUUAUAUUGUGUGUGUGUGUGUGUGUGUGUGAUAAAGAUGGGAGUCAUUAGUGAGUCACUCCACACUUUUGAGUGGUGGUAUAUAUGACUAAUUAUGAACAUAUACUCCAUAGCAGCACUGCAUUAAAUGUCUGCAUCAAACCUGGAAUAUGUGCUUCAGAUCCCCAUGUUGACUCUGGGUGAACUGGUCACUGACAGCAUCUGGGUUACAUUCCUCCAUUUGGCUUCUGGGGAUGGAAAAUCAAAGUGAGGAGUAUUGUCUUUAACUAGGGAGCAAACCUUUAAACAUCUACCCUUUAAACAUCAACAAAAGCACAGUUGACCCUGAUAAAAACUACUCAGCUUGCUAACUGAUGUACUUUGGUGAUAUAUUUGGCAACACUGUGCUGUAAAACCUGGUCUUACCUCAGGGUUUUCCUAAGGGUUUCAAGCCUACAUCAGAAACCUAGUGACUGAGUGGCUUAUGAAAACAAAAGAUGUGCUUAUUCCGAAACCAUAUCUCAAAACCUGUUAAAAACCUGCAUCAUGUGCCUUUCAUGAAGAAAAUGUAUCCAGAUGUUUUUUUCCCUCUAAGAUUCUUUCCCUCUGAGUCUGCACUCGUUCUGUCUGUUCUAUGCUGUAAUGACUUAUUUCAGACAUUUUGUAAUUUGAUCUUUUAGGAUUUGUAGUCUGAUUGUAUACUUCACAAAUACUUUAUUGGGUCUAAAUUUAUCUCUAAAGCUUUGCUGAGAGAUUCUUUAUUUCCUGGCGCAAUAUCUCUUGUCAAUGCACUUCAUGUUGACUAUCGUGACAGUACAGCUUUUUAAGCUUUAACUUCAUAAGUUGGAAGUUAAUUAGUCACUCCUCUGACUGGCCCCUCUUCAUGGACACACCAGUGGGUGUAGGUGACGAAGAUCUCUCCUGAUAGAUUUGUCUAUUAGAAAAUAGCACCCAUGAGUACGCCAAUGAGCUCCUAGAAUUAUCUGAGUUUUUUUUUUCUUGACUAAAUAUCAGCUUGAUUCUAAAAUUGAUUAUAUGUUGACUUCCUAACAUACCCUUCCUAGCAUACCCUUGACAUGAGUCUGUUUCAUGGACUUGCCUUGGUGCAUCUGGACC
ensembl:lncRNA